GUUAUCUUCUUCUUUUUAUACUCUUCAUUCUUCCCUUUUAUUCUCUCUUUGUUUUAUUCUUUUUUUAUAAUGAAAUAAAUAUAACUCCUAAAGAAAUUUAUUUCACUUUAACCUAAUUUUUCAAGUUGGGUUUCUAAGAAUUCAUUCAAUCAUCAUAUAUUUUGUAGAUGACUUAAGGGAUUGAAAGUUCUACUAGUGCACAUAAAUUAUUUUGGAGUUAACAUAUUGUGAGGUAUUGCUAAUGGAAUUUGAUGGACAUUUGUAUCAGCUUUCGGUUCGUUUGGAUACUUGGAUUUUCUACAUACAUAUUUGUAUGUGUUUGAUUUACGGGUUCUUUCCACUUUCAAUUUUUUUCGUCGAAGUUUAUGCAUAUGUUUAAUUUUAUAAUCGAAUUUCCCCAUGUAUCUUCAAGCUAAGCAAGUAAAGAAGAAGCCUGGAUAUAUGUGGAACAUUUCAAAUUUCGAGAUUCAAAUAAGUUUAUCAUCAACUUCGUGGUACUUAAUUUACGUCUUCGUGGAAGAGAAAACUAAAUCCUAAUUCAGAACAUUAUAUCUGCCUAUUAUAAACAUGUUACUGUAUCACGACACUAUUAAUUAUUAAAAUGAGAGCUUGCAAAACUGAUUUAGACCAAAGAGAGCUACUUCAUUUUUAUUUGUUUUAGCGACCUGGUGCAAAUUAGAACAAUAUUGAGCAUUAUAACAUUUUUUAUUUUAUUUUAUAUUAUACCUUUUUAGAAGUGGGAGUUGUGCUAGGACGAACACAGCAAAUUGUACGGUAACCAAAGACAUUUCAAAUUGUAUUGUGAGGCCUCAUAAUUUUUGGCCCUUUGUGGCCCAAUUUGAUUGGGUAUUAACACUUGGAGGCUCUUUUAUUCCACGUGUGAGCAAUUGAUAUUGCUUCAGGCUGAUAUCAGGAAAUUAGAGCUCUCAAUUAUCUUGCCUCUUUCAAGAAAAUAUUUAUGAUUUUGGUAUUCUUAUCCCUUCCCCUGAUUUCGUCUCUGUUGGAGAAAGUUACUAGCAAUGAAAAAAGCUUUUAAAGUACCCUAACCACAAACAUUUUGUUCAACACGACAUCUACGGAUAUGAUUACCAUGACGGCAUGACCAUACAACUGAUUUGCAGCGUCUUUGGACCAUGGUACUUUGUAUAACCAAGAGCAAAUAAGAGAUAUAGAUGAUUACGAGACACUGAAGAGAGUUAAAUGUUUGCCUUCCAGAUGAUGCAUGAUACUGAUAGUAGAUUGAGUUUUGUUAUAUCUUUCCUUUCAGCAAGUACCUCCAGUCCUCUAUCUGUUCAUCAGAGGAAUGAAAUAUAGGCAUUGAUUGUAAAUGAAAUAAAGUUGUGUUUUAUUUUUGUUCCAAGUUAUAUGUGUGCCGAAAUUGUAAGAGUUUCAUAUGAAAUAUUUGAAUUUCCACUUAUUUUGGAGAUAAUGAUGAUAUCAAGAAGCUUGAGGUGGAAAGGGUAUUGUCAUUAGUUAUUAGUUUUUGCUUGAUUUUGAUUUUUUGUGUGUUUGGGUUACUGGAAUCUUUGCUUAUCAGCAAACUCAAAGGUUAUCUCUUUUUCUAUAUUAUGGGGUUUAAUUUUUUGCUCCAACUUUUCAUACAUAUGCUACUCAUUUAGACCUGAUUCAUACUAGAUAUAUUCAAUUCGCCUAAAAGCUCUAGCCCUAUUUGUAGUAUUAUAUAACAAUGUUGAAGAAAGUUUUGGAACAGAUUGGAGUUGCCCUGCCUAACUUCAUGGCUCAAAGGAAACAAAAAGGAAAAUGAAGGAGAAACCAGAGCUGAAGGUCUAUGUAAUUUCAUGACGACUCUAAAUUACCUUUAAGAUCAGAUUUCUUUCUUUCUAGAUGUAUCAGAAAAGAUGCUCACUUGAUUUAUCACAUUAGACUUGUAAACAUUGAUACUAUAAAAAAGACCUAUUUUUAUUUUCUCUG